rnacentral:rRNA from 1 species
CCUACGGGAGGCAGCAGUGAGGAAUAUUGGUCAAUGGGCGCGAGCCUGAACCAGCCAAGUCGCGUGAGGGAUGACGGUCCUACGGAUUGUAAACCUCUUUUGCCGGGGAGCAAGCGUGCGUUCGUGAACGCGCGUCGAGAGUACCCGGAGAAAAAGCAUCGGCUAACUCCGUGCCAGCAGCCGCGGUAAUACGGAGGAUGCGAGCGUUAUCCGGAAUGACUGGGCGUAAAGGGUGCGUAGGUGGUUUGGCAAGUUAGUAGCGUAACUCCAAGGCUCAACCUUGGAACUACUACUAAAACUGUUGGACUUGAGUGCAGGAGGGGCAACCGGAAUUCCUAGUGUAGCGGUGGAAUGCGUAGAUAUUAGGAGGAACACCAGUGGCGAAGGCGGGUUGCUAGACUGUAACUGACACUGAGGCACGAAAGCGUGGGGAGCAAACAGGAUUAGAUACCCGGGUAGUC